UGCCGGCCCGGGGCCCCGUCGGCGCGCGCCCAUUUCCGUAUCCGGUUUCAAGCGUUUCCGUUCUCAGCGGGCACAUCUGAGAGGUAGGUGGUGAUGGCGAGGAACAGGCUUCUGGACCGCCCAAGUGUGCUCGCCGAGGGUGUACUACAAACCUUCGGAUGCUGGCCUGUGGGACUCAGCAGAGGAUGAGUCCUCUCUCCUUUCAUUGGUGAGCCACUCUUCCCAGCUGCUCUCCUACCAUCCACCAUCCUCAUGUCUACCCUACUCCUCAAUCUGGAUUUUGGCGAACCUCCCCCCAAAAAGGCAUUAGAAGGGAAUGCCAAGCACCAAAAGUUUGUCAGGAAGCGGCGGUUCUUAGAGAGGAGAGGCUUUCUGAAUAAGAAGAAACAGCCCCCUAACAAUGUGCCCAAGUUGCACUCAGAACCUGCAAAGAAAGGGGUAACUCCUCAGGUGGAUGGCGCUUGGAAAAUUUCUCCCCCUCCAAAAAAGAAGAAGACUGCAGACUCGAGCAGUGGGUCAGAGCGGUCCCUGGACAAGAAAGCCUCGGUGCCCUGGCUGACCCCUGCCCCUUCACAGAAGACUGGUUCUGUUGUGGCGAAAGUGGAUUUGCUGGAGGAGUUCCAGAGUUCCCUUCCAGAGAUUAAGAGCCCCCCAACUCGCCCUCAGAAGAAGAACCCCCAAAAAAACCCUAUUCAGAAGAGUACACCGCAUAACUCCACCCUGGCUCGUUCAGAGAAUAAAUGCUCUGGAGCAUCCCAGAAGACGCCAAGGAAGAUGGUGGCAAUUGACUGUGAGAUGGUGGGCACAGGACCCAAGGGGCAUGUGAGUUCCUUGGCUCGAUGUAGCAUCGUCAACUACAACGGGGAUGUGCUCUACGAUGAGUACAUCCUUCCUCCCUGUCACAUUGUGGACUACCGCACCAGAUGGAGUGGUAUCCGCAAGCAGCACAUGGUGAAUGCUACCCCCUUCAAGAUUGCUCGGGGCCAGAUCUUGAAAAUACUCACAGGGAAGAUAGUGGUGGGACAUGCCAUCCACAAUGACUUCAAAGCCCUUCAGUACUUUCACCCCAAGUCUCUUACCCGUGACACGUCCCAUAUCCCUCUUCUCAACCGGAAGGCUGACUGCCCAGAGAACGUUACCAUGUCUCUGAAGCACCUCACAAAGAAGCUGCUGAACCGGGACAUCCAGGCUGGAAAAAGUGGACAUUCCUCUGUGGAAGACGCUCAGGCCACCAUGGAGCUGUACAAGUUGGUUGAAAGCCCAGCUUCCCCUGCAGAGUGCCCGGGGAUGUCCUGUCAUUCGGUCCUUCCUUCUCCACCCCUCUGUCCCCAGGAUCCCAGGCUUCCACUGAUAAUAGAAGAGCCCCAUUGCAGAUUGCUGCCUGAGUCUCUGUCAACAAGUCCUGUUUGGCAGAGGGGACCACAUGCAUGAUAAAACACAAGCUCUUCUGAUACUCUCUUCAUGGCAUAAUGAUGUUUCUAAUGCUAAGAGGUCCCCCACUGCAGCGUGCUGGCCCAGCCCUGAGGAGAGCAUUGGCAGCUGGAGCUGGGAACCAGGUAGCAGAGCCAAAAACAACAGAGGAGCCGCCUGGCUGCCUCGCCUAGAUGCUGCGCAGCCCAUUCCUGGUCUAACUGUAACACCUCCUAUUGCAGCUUCUCCCCCCUGUGGUUCUGACCCUACCGGGCCACACCUCCUCCCUUUGCCAAGGCCUGGAGCUGGCCCUAAAGGUCAGCCCGGUGUUCUUUGAGUCCAGCUGCUCAUACCUUCCCUAGUGCUCAGGGUCUCUCCCCAGCACCCAAAGGUUUCUGGGAAAUGGGUCGCCUAUUUUCUGGAUCUCUGGCUCCAUCUCCCAGCUUGCGCGGCAGCUUGCUGGAAGUUCUUUUUGGCUCCAUCCAUCCUGCUCAAUGGCAAUUUUAUUUGGGAGAAUCAGAGCCUUAUCAGAUUUGAAAAGGGCUGGGUCCCUGAAUCCAGGGAGACAGGAAUGGAACAUUCCCAUGGGUAUGGAGGAUCAGACCAGACCAGGAGGCAGGAUGCUCAAGUCCACACUGUGCUAAGUGAAAUGCUGAGGGUUAGGGAGACCAGGAGACACAACUGUUCUGGCCCAGCCAUUCCCAACUGUUAGUCUGAUUGAAUAAUCGAAUCAACACCCCUCCCCUGGGAACUGACCUUUAGGCCACUUCACAAUGGACAUUCCCUUUCACUGAGACCACAUUCCACUUGCUAAGACCAUUAUCCUUCCCCUCUGGACCUUCCUAGGAUCCGGACCGCCCAGAGAAUUCUCCGCCCAGAAAAAGCCCGCCUAGUGUCCUUUAAAACCUCUGACUCCCUGUCCCUGGGUGCUGGCGCCAUUUGGGGGCUCAGCCCAUCUGGUAUCCAGAUGACCUAAUAAAU